rnacentral:rRNA from 1 species
CACGUAGGGUGCGAGCGUUUGUCCGGAAUUAUUGGGCGUAAAGAGCUCGUAGGCGGUGUGUCGCGUCGGCCGUGAAAACCUGCAGCUUAACUGUGGGCUUGCGGUCGAUACGGGCAUCACUGGAGUUCGGCAGGGGAGACUGGAAUUCCUGGUGUAGCGGUGAAAUGCGCAGAUAUCAGGAGGAACACCGGUGGCGAAGGCGGGUCUCUGGG